CUUUUCCCAGUGUCCGAGUUGGACCUCCUGGAUGAACCGUGUGUUAGAAGCCGCAUCUCGGUUUCCCUUUGUGCUUUGAGAGGGGCUUGGGGCAGACUUCACCCGCGUUUCCGGGGUUAACUGAGGGAGGAAGUAGAGGCUGCCGGUGGUGGAUGGGGGAGGGGGUGCUUGGCUGCAGCCCUGGGCCCGGGGAGCGUCUGGGAAAAGGGCAGCAACCAGAUCCCAGGAUGUUUGCCGUCCCUGCUGUCCCUUCCGUCACCACUGCCCGGUGGCUGUGCAAGCCUGUGGAUUACUGUUUGCUCAACUGUUCUGAAGCCAAGCGGUGCAGAAAGGCUCCCAACCGGUGAGGAGAGCGCAGGCCGAGGGCUCCCCGAGGCUGUUGGCGGGGUGAUCCUGACCGUCCCCAUUAGCGUCUCCGUCUUCACAGUGCUCCGGCUCUGCUGGGAGGACGCAGCUCCCAGCGGCAGCCACACGCCCUUCUCCGCCCGCCUCCCGGGGCUUUCUGGCGCCUUCCGCCCUCUGCUCGCCCGCCGGCCCCCUCCCCUUGCCCCAGCCCUCCAGCACUUCCACCUGCGGCUCCACCAGCGCUUUUGUUCCUGCUGCCCUGCGUUCGUUUCCCAUCAGAUGCCCGUGUUCUCGUUUGCGGUCAUUUUAGACUUCCGACAAGUUGCUGAGACCUUCCAAGAGUCCUUGUGUGCUCAUCUCCCUCUACCACAGUGAGUGGGUCAGAAGGAGAAACGCCCACUGGGGCCUGACUGUCCGCCGCACUCCCGACCUCAUCUGGAUGUUGCUGGCCCAUCCACAAACGUCCUUGGUCUGGUCUCCACUGCGACCCCACGCUGGAGACGGCACUAUGUUCAGGAUGCCCAAAGUAACAUAUCAAAGCAUCUCCCUACAGAACUUUUGGCUAGCAGCUGCCUACCCACUGGAUGCUUCCCCAGACCUCACAGUCAACGCACUGAUGCAGGAUGUCAUCGGAGACUCCCUUCCAAGCCCCACAUAGAGGCUGGCAGGAGGAGCUCUUCGCUCCAAAAGACUAAGGACAAUCUCUUCGUACAGAGGCCGGGCCAUCCUGAGGACCUGUAUCCUAGCAACCCCAUGUCUUUGUCCAACUACCCCUAAAUCAUUGGGUUCAGCUCAAAACAUCCAAAGGAACUCAGGGGUAAGAUGCAGAAACCCGAAUGUCUUCCAGCCGUGCACCCAGGACUCCCAGCACUGGUUUCUGCUCCCAGGGGCCCCGGAGCACACGGGUCCGUGAUUUCGUUCACGAGGUCACUCUGUUUCACCAUGACAGCGCAAUGGGGCCAGAACGUUUGGGGCUCCGAGCUGUGCCGGUCACCAGAGGAGACUGCUGUCCGAGUCAGGGAUCACAGUAAAGCCGAUAACCCGUGGGGCCAUCCCUGGGCAGGGCAGAACUGUGUACCCAACGCUGCCCCGCCCUGCCGGCCUCAAGUGCAAAAACAGGACAUCCUCCUGACCCCCAGGGUCACAGGGUCGCUGAAGAGCCUGAGGGAGGAUCUGAGAGCAGAGCCUGGAGCAAGUGACAAGGGGGAUGCGCUGUCCGGAGAGCCCGGCACAGGGAACCCACAACCAGUGUGAUGCCGGGGUCCGGAAUGCUCGGGGCCUUCCUGCUCUCUUCACUAAUCCCAUCACGUCGUUCCCAUCAGGAGGCUGGAAGCCCGGCGAGCCGGACCUCUCUGGAAGGCCUGGUCUACUGCUCGCUUACGGGGGUAUAUUUCUUUGAGGACAGCCGGGACAUAUUCUCGGUGCUUUGCUUUAUUUGCCUGGUGUGCGAGAUAACAGGCUCUCUGUCAUCCUCAGAGUGUGACUGACGAGCGCAUCCAUUUGCCUUCAUGCCCUCACGAAUGCACGGAUUCAGAUGCAUCCGAGGGGUGUCGGUGUCAGUGCACGUCUUCACGUUACUGAAGGUCCGAUCACCCCAACUUCAGCCAGCAGGAGCCCCCCAGGGCCGGCCCCCCGCUCCUGCAGUGUCUGACGCCUCAGUCGCUGGUGUGUCAAGAUGUUUCAGACUUGCCUGUGCCCAGACCUAGAAUCCACAACUUCCCCGAGCCCUGCCUUUUUGGUUUAUGGGGAGGGAGUGAGAGGAGGAGUGGGCUGGGAGCAAACAUGGUACCUUAAGACCACGGUCCAGGCUGUAGUGGCACCCGGUGCGUGUGGGAAGGUUUCCCUUGACUUCCUUCAUACCCCAUCUUCAUCCCUGGGAAUGGUGCGGCGUAAGGACACCUGGGAUGACAGAGCUAGACUCUCCCUGGCCACCCAUCGGCUUUGUCCACACCCUGCAUGUGGUGCUCUCAGAACAGCCGAGUCCACGCUGCCCACAUUCGUAUGAUGUGUGUCCAUGCUGUGUGGGGCACAUGAAACCCCGUCUAGCAGGCGUCCCAGGAGGCUCCUGCGAGCCUGCGUUCUUACAUGGCACAAGCACUUUCUGUGCUCUGCGUGGGAAGAUCCAUUUUGCUGGGUAUAAAAAUCUCAGGCUCUGGUUUCUAGUACCUUCCAGGCGUGACUCCCCUGUCCUGGCAUCAAGGGCUGCUGUGGAAAAGUUGUGUGAGAAUCUCGGUUUCUGUCUCUUCUAAGCCAGAGCUCUCUUUUUACCUAGAGGCCCCAAGGAUUUUUUGUUUUUCUUCAAGUACCAGUCAUUUUGCUAACAUAUGUCUUGGCAUUGGUCAUUCUGGGCUGGAUUUCAGGCAACUUUCCUUGAAUACGGGCCUCAGAAUUUGUUCUGCUGUCUUGCGUUGGCGCCUUCCUCAAAGAGCCCUGUUAUCUGUCUGUUGGAAUUUUUUUGCCAAUUUUCACAAUUUCAAAGUUUCUUUGACAUCCUUCGAAUCGUGGUUUUUUUCUUCUUUUGAAUUUUAAACUGUUUCUCCUUUUCAUCUCCUCAACCCCUGAAGGCAUCAUGUCCUCGUGCUGCCUUCAACUCUUGAGUUCUCUCUGUUUCAUCUACAUUUAUGAAAUAAUCGUUCUUUUGUUUUCCAUUCCUUGCUUGAGUGUCUCACCUCACUUCUGAGUUUUAAACAUUAACUCGUGGUGCCGGCUUCCCCCCGCUAGGUUUUCUAUCAUUUUCUCAUUUUUAGUUUAUUCUGGAACAGCAUGUUGCAAUUUUGAUGUUUCCUUUUUUUGUUUGUUUUGAGCACGUCCUUCUGCUGUGCUUCCUCUCUGUAAGGAGCGCCGCUCUGUGGCACACUCUCAUGUUUCUGGCAGUAGCUUUGCAUGGGAUUUACCCCUGAUGCUUUUCUGUUGCUCAAUGUCAAUUUAAGGCUCUUGAGCCUCUUGAAGAACACGGGUUACAGCUUUUCUCAUUUCCCCGACAGCCCUCUCCUGUCACUCUCCCGAGCACACUGUGACCCCCGGGGCUUUAACGAGCAGGGUCACUGACGCUGCCCCCUUCCUGCGCUUGUCCGCAGCUCUCCCUCGCUGGUCUCUCUUGUCCCUGUCCUGCUUGGUGCUGACCCAGCAGUUUUCCCUCUGUGUGGGGCUUUGUCCUGAAAGAACCACCAGAGGCUGCACUGUCCAUCCCCGUGAGACAUGACCAGGUCACCCUGCCCCGCUCCUUCUGCCACAACCCGCUGUCCACUUCACCUGCUGCCGUCAGACUCCAUGCCGUCCAGGGCAUACUUGUGGGCACUCAUGCCCCCUGACACUCAGGUUUGUCACACACACAUCCCCCACUCUCCCUACACAGACCCAACACCCGCACUCGGUGCCUCCCCGUGACUCAGCCCCACCCACUGGGACUCUGAGAUGUGCAGACACCACACUUCCUAGUUCUGUGUAGAUGUUGUCUGUGGAUAUUUCUUAUU